CUCUUCCGGUUCUAGGCGCUUCGGGAGCCGCGGCUUAUGGUGCAGACAUGGCCAAGUCCAAGAACCACACCACACACAACCAGUGUAAGUUUUUUGGGCCCUGCCUACAUCCCAGACCCUGGCAAGGACUGGUUCAGGCAAACUGGGACAGAGAUGAAGGGGCACGUUUCCAUUGUGGGCCUGAGGCUGAUUGAUUUCACCCAGUAAUAACUUUAGGGUUAUAGGUUUAGAGAUCUACUUGAGAUACAGAGUGUUUUGCAUUUAGUAGUAAGGGUUUCUCAUAUCUCAAGUGUAGCUGCUGUAGGAAGUGUUGGUUCUCCCAGACUUGCCAGCUGUGAUGUUGGGUGGUCUUAUUAGAGGAAAGUUCUUUGUUGGCUUAAUUCCCUUUUUUUCUCCCACAGCCCGAAAAUGGCACAGAAAUGGUAUCAAGAAACCCCGAUCACAAAGAUACGAAUCUCUUAAGGGGGUGAGUGCACUGAAUCACAUGGAAGUGUCUUUUCUUGGUCCAGGUGCACAGUCAAGGCCUUUCAUGUAGUUUUUCUCUAGCUUUGGCUUCUGCCUGAGCACAGCCU
rnacentral:sRNA from 1 species